rnacentral:siRNA from 1 species
UAUGUCCAAUGUCUUUUCUAG